GUGCUGGUCCAUGGACACCAUGCCAGUUUUUCAUGUGAUGUACCAGCCUCCAGUCCCAGAGCCAUGGGGGAGAUGAGGUAGCCUUUGGGUUUGAUUUGGGGAAGCCCAGUUCAAUGGAUACGAAGUACAAGGAUGACUUAUUCCGGAAGUACGUGCAGUUCCAUGAGGGCAAAGUGGACACCACCCCCAGCAAACAGCAGCCUGGCAGCGAUGAGUGAUGAGUACCUGCGCGUGGCAGCUGCCACCCUGCUCAGCCUGCACAAGGUGGACCCUUUGUAUCGAUUUCGGAUGAUUCAGUUUUAUGAGGUGGUGGAGAGCUCCCUCUGCUCACUGAGCAGCUCCAGCCUGAGUGCUCUCUCUGCACUGCGCCUUCAGCAUGCUGGAGACAGUGGCUAUCAACCUCUUCCUGUUCGCCUGGAAGAAGGAAUUCUGCAGCAUCAAGACCUACACUGGCCCCUUUGUUUACUAUGUCAAGUCCACGUUGCUGGAGAAGGACAUCCGAGCCAUUCUGAGGUUCAUGGGCUAUGAGCCAGAGUUGGGGACUGCGUACAAACUUACAGAGCUUGUGGAGUCCCUCCAGGUGAAGAUGGUCUCCUUUGAGCUCUUCCUGGCCAAGGUUGAGUGUGAGCAGACGCUAGGGAUCCACUCGCAGGUGAAGGACAAGGGCUACUCAGAGCUGGACAUGGUGACUGAGUGCAAGAGCAGCAUGGAGGAUGUGCCUGGGUGCUCAGAUGCCUUGCGGAGGCGGGCUGAGAGUCGGGAGCACCUGACCACUUCCGUGGCCCGUGUGGCACUCCAGAAGUCAGCCAGUGAGCGCGCAGCCAAGGACUACUACAAGCCCCGAGUGACCAAACCCUCCAGGUCGGUGGAUUCCUACGAUAGCUACUGGGAGAGCAGGAAGCCCCCCUCAAAGGCCUCACUGAGUCUGCGCAAGGAGCCCCUGGCCAUGGAUGUAGGGGAGGACUUGCAGGAUGAGAUCAUCUGCCUGUCCCCCUCAUUGUUGACCAUGUCCACCUCCCCCCAUGGUAGCCCUCAUGAUAUCCCCUCCAUCUCCCCCAUCAACGGCCUUGGCCUUCUUCGCAGUACGUACUUUUCCACUCAGGAUGACGUGGACCUGUAUACAGAUUCAGAACCCAGGGCUACCUACCGGAGGCAGGAUGCUUUGCAGCCGGAUGUAUGGCUGGUCAAAAAUGAUGCCCACUCCAUCUACCACAAGCGUUCACUCCCCACCAAAGAGUCUGCCCUCUCCUAGUGCCAAAACAGUGCAGCCUGUCCUGCAGCUCCUCCCUCUACCAGCGCUCUGACUGUGUACUGGUCUGUCUUUCGGCCUCCAAGUCUAACGCUUUCCCCAGCAAGGCCUCUGCACAUGACAGCUUGGCCCAUGAGGCACCUAUGUGGGAGAAGUAUGCGGGCCAGACUCAGGGCCUUGACCGGCUGGCACCUGUCCACUCAAAGCCCAAGCCUUCUACCAUAGCCACCUCCCUCUGUGGCUUCUGUAACUGUGCAGGUGCCACCAACACCUGUACCCAGUGUUCAAAAGUUUCCUGUGACGCCUGCUUCGGCGCCUUCCACUACGACCUGUGCUGCAGAAAAGAGUGAGCUGCACAAAUUCAUGGCCAACAAUCAGCUGAAUUACAAAUCCAGGCCAGCUCUCCCAUCUCGUAUACAGAUAG